GGGCCCGCACAAGCGGUGGAGUAUGUGGUUUAAUUCGAUGCAACGCGAAGAACCUUACCAGGGUUUGACAUCCUGCGAAUCUUUUGGAAACGAGAGAGUGCCUUCGGGAACGCAGUGACAGGUGGUGCAUGGCUGUCGUCAGCUCGUGUCGUGAGAUGUUGGGUUAAGUCCCGCAACGAGCGCAACCCACGUCUUUAGUUGCCAGCAUUUAGUUGGGCACUCUAGAGAAACUGCCAGCGUAAGCUGUGAGGAAGGUGGGGAUGACGUCAAAUCAUCACGGCCCUUACGUCCUGGGCUACACACGUACUACAAUGCUACGGACAAAGGGCAGCAAGUUCGCGAGGACAAGCAAAUCCCAUAAACCGUGGCUCAGUUCAGAUCGUAGGCUGCAACUCGCCUACGUGAAGGCGGAAUCGCUAGUAAUCGC
rnacentral:rRNA from 1 species